rnacentral:rRNA from 1 species
GUGUCAGCCGCCGCGGUAAUACGGAGGGUGCAAGCGUUAUCCGGAUUCACUGGGUUUAAAGGGUGUGUAGGCGGACUUUUAAGUCCGUGGUGAAAUCUCCAGGCUUAACCUGGAAACUGCCAUGGAUACUAUUGGUCUUGAAUGCUGUUGAGGUGGGCGGAAUACAUCAUGUAGCGGUGAAAUGCUUAGAUAUGAUGUAGAACACCGAUUGCGAAGGCAGCUCACUAAGCAGAUAUUGACGCUGAGGCACGAAAGCGUGGGGAUCAAACAGGAUUAGAUACCCUUGUAGUCC